CUAUGGUCAAAUCACAAUGAACACACCUGUACUCGUUCGGUCACCGAAGUUGAGCAACGUAGAGCCAGAUCAGUACUUAGAUGGGGGACCGCUUGGGAACACCUGGUACUGUAAG